rnacentral:rRNA from 1 species
UACAUAGGUAGCGAGCGUUAUCCGGAAUAACUGGAUGUAAAGGGAGUGUAGGUGGAUGCAUAAGCCUGAUGUGAAAGCCCGGGGCUUAACCCCGAGGAUUGCACCAGAAACUGUGUGUCUAGAGUACGAGAGAGGCAAGUGGAAUUCCUAGUGUAGCGGUAGAAUGCGUAGAGAUUAGGAGGUACACCGGCGGCGAAGGCGGCUUGCUGGCUCGCAACUGACACUGAGACUCGAAAGUGUGGGGAGCAAA